ensembl:lncRNA
GGAAGAUGUCCCAAGUUCACGGUGAUCUGGAGCGGAAUUCUGGGGCCUGUUUUGACCUUUGGGUUUGUCCUGAUCUGCAGGGGAGCUGGGCGUUCGUUCCCCCCUGCCCCCAGCCGGUCCUGGGUCGCGGUGCUGGGCGGCCCCCACGGCAUGUUCCCCGGAGGAGUAAAGAGCUACUGAAGCUAGGGGUCGGGGGCACAGAGGUGGGUAAAAGGUCCCAGAGACCAGGGUGCAGCCCCGACCGUGCCCCAAGCCCAUCACCUCUGCUAGUUGUAAGAUGAGUAGAGUGGGGAGCACGUGGUGCCCACCCCACGGGACACGGUGGGAACUGCGUGACAUCAGAGCUGGCCUGUCUGAUGCACUUUCUCAUCGCCGAAAUAUUUUCUCCUUCUGGGCGACGGCCACCUUAUCCAUCUAGGGUCUGCUGCACCUGCUGUGUGUCACGUACACCCUUCUUGGGAGAAGUCAGCGGGGGGCACAGCCGUGACACUGUCCGGGGGCUGGGGACAUUCACUUCCUCUCCCGAAGGGCGUGCUGACCUUGGCCUCGCUGACUCUGGGGCCCGGGGGCAUCUGAGCAGGAUCUGGGAGUCCUCCGUGAUCCCAGAGCUUCUGGGUGCAUGGAUGCCACGUGACCGGGACGCUGUUGACUCUGCGGGUCCCAUGGUGUGCUUGGCAAACACAGGGAUUUACCCAAGGCCACCCUGUCCCCACCUGCCAGGUCGGGAGCUGGCGUGCGCUCGGUGCCUUGGGUUCGCCCAGAACACCCACCUGGAGACGCUGACCGCUCAGAUAGAGAAGAAAUUCAGGAAGGGGCGUCAGGUGGCCGGCAGUCCCGGAGGCCCCCGAGCCUUCUCCCUGACCAGGAACCUGCGGGGGGACGGCACGCUUUCCGGGGGGUCGGUGCCCAGACAGGCUGAGGCUCCAGGUCAGCCGCGAGCCCGCUGGAUCAAGGCCGAGGGUCACGGUGAGGGUGAGAAGGGACCCGCGGGGUGGAGGGGGGAGGGGGAGGGGCAGCUCGGCCAGGGCCUCCGCAGGGGGAGCGGGGAGCGAGCAGGUCUGUCCCGCCGCACGCAGGUGGCAGCGCGCGGGUGCGCCGACCCCCACGGACCCCCUCGCGGGCGGAGGGGGGGAAGGGGGGUCCUCUCGCGUCCCCUCCCCUUCCCCGCGUCCCCUUCCCCGCGCCACGCCCCCCCCUGCCGCCGAGCGAUAGCUAAUUGGGCAGAGAAAGGGCCCGAUUGUCUGCGCGCCGGAAGCGCGGGCGUGGGCGGCUGGAAGCGCCGAGAAGGUGGCCGGCCUCGCCCGGCAGCUGCCGCCGGAGCCGCCCGGGGGUGACGUCAGCGCUGGCGAGCGGGGAGCCCGGCGGAGAGGGGGGCGCUCGCGGCCUCGCCACAAUGCGACCAUUGUGGGCCCGUGAAUGCGGCCGGGCCUCUUGACCGGGGAGGCCGCGAGCCUCGCGCUCUGGCCUGUCACUCGCCGCCGGGGAGGCCCGGGCUCCGAUCGGGGGGGGGGAGCAGGGGAGCAGGCCCCUCCCCCCCCCAGGCACAGCCCGCACCCCAGGGGGGGCCCCCACCCUCGGCAUGGCCUCCUGGUGGGAGGGAAGCACGGGCCCUGACCCGCUCCUGGUCCUGCUGGUCAUUGUCCUGUUAGCCCGUUUCAUUCUCUGGUCCUGCCUCGGGACCUACAUAGACUAUAAGUUGGCCCGGCGGCACCCCCAGAAGCCCAAGGAGGACUAGGGCCUCUGCCGGCCGGGGACUCUGAGCGUCACCCUCCCCCCGCCAGCCCCUCCAGGAGGGCGCUGCCCCAGAGGUGUCCUCUCCUGAGCCGAGGGCGUGCCGGGAGGGCCAGGCCACAGACCCCCGGCUCCUACCCGCAGGGCAGAGAUGGACCGUGGCGCCCCACCCACUGGCCCUGAGCUGUCCUGGUCACCAGCCCGUCCCAUGUCGGGAUAGAGGGGCCACCACGCCCUGUCUGUCCGUCCGUCAGGGUCUGGGGUCCGCAGCUGGAGGGAGCGAUCGUGGGGGGCUCGUAAGUAUGUUUGCGGGAGGAGGUGGGGAUGAGCCACAGGGGCUGGGGUGGGCGCCGAGGGGACAGACGUGGCCACGUCACGAGCCAGCCCUGCCACCCAACGCUGCCUUGCCCCUCGGCUUCCUCCUGCCCCCCGGAGGGAUAAUAGUAAGUUCAGACGGCUGCCUUGGUUUCCCCAGAGCAGACCCCCAGAGGGUCUCAGGACAGGCUCGACACCUGAGUUCGAGUCCGGCUCUGGUUGGCCGCGGGGAAGGAAAUCUCUGUCUCUAAAAUGGGCGCAAUAAUCCCUCCCUCCUCAGAAGGGUACGAGGAGGGUUGGACGAGGGGCGGGGCGGCAGCCCCCCCAGCCUGCACCCUGCUGGACUCGUGGAGGACAGUGCAGGAGAGAAACCAGGGACCCAGAGAGUGCCUCUCUCCCUCGGUGCUUGGAAGCGUGUGGCUGAGACACGCCUCAGAAGGCGGGCAGGCGGGAGGGUUGACUCGGGCCCCAGGAGCCGGCGCCUGCCCGUCACACCCCGCCUCGGAGCGGCACCCGGUGGCUCUGAGGUUCUCGACCUGGUGGCUCCUUCUAAUCACCCUGCGGAUUUUAGCAAACACGAUGGCCGGGCUCCCCAGACGGAGAAGCAGGGGCAGGGACAAGAUGUCCUUGGGAGGCUGGCGCCUGGUUGCACAGGACCGGGGACACCUGUCACAGCAGAGUCUUAGGGAGCUGGUGUUGCUGACCUGGGCGAGCAGACUCGGGAAGGCCCGGCCCGGCGCCACCCGUCUUGCCUUGCGGCGUCCUGGCAGAGGGACCGCAGGCCCGAGCCGGGGGAGCGGCGGGACCUGAUGAACUCACCGGCACCGAGGAGAUCUUGAUUUGCUCCCGAAGGACCUGCCGUGCUCCAGGCAACCUCAGGGCCCGGGGAGCCGGUUGGCGGAAGCGGGGACCUUCUGGGGGCGGGGCUGACCCACACAAGAGAUUUUGAUGGGGGGGUGUCUGGGGGCGGAUGGCCGAUGAGGCUCUUUUCUUCUGGAUGAGGGUCCAGAGAGUCUGCGCGGUCGUGGUGGUGGUGGUGGUGGUGGUGGGAGGGGCUUGGUGUGCGUUGAUUCAUCAGGGGCUGGAGGGCGGCUGUCCUGGGGGGUUGUGGGAGCAACAGAACUCACGCCCCCACCGCGUCCAGAACCUGCUGGUAGGGGUCAGGGGAGGAGGUGUUCUCGUUGCCCUGAAGGAAAACGGCGUUCAAUGCCCUUUUAAAAUCACGCGUGGUUUUACUGGUCUCUUUAAGAAGAACCACGUGUGUUCUCAGGAUCGGGUAUCAAAGGAGGGCGGGUGGCCAUUCAUUCCGGUUCGCCUGGGAGGGACCCAGGUUUAAAACGCGACGUUCCCCGUCCCGGGAGACCCCUCUACCUCGCGCAAAGCCGGCCCCGCCCCCACCCGAGGGAGGAAAAUCCCUGCACACAGCGUGUUAACGGGACCAGUUGCGGACUUGCGUGUAAUCUGCGUGCAGCCUGCGUGUGCACACGGGUGCGUGUGAUGGCGCUUCGGCCCAUGCUUCAGGUGCCCCGUUUGGUCCAGUGAGCCGGGAUGCUGGGGCUCUCACCGCCGCCCCUGCUGUUGGGGUGGCCUGGCAGAGGGGACAGAAGCCGGAGGCUCCUGCCAAGUGGGACCGUGCAAGAAAACCGGAUUCUGCCAGGGCUGUUUGAGCCCCUUUGGAGUUACACUGGUCGGUACCUUUCUUCCCCCCGCCGCCGAAGCCGGUUUGCGUUGUGUCUUGAUUCACAGCCGAUACUUUCUGCUGGGCGCGGGUCUCUGCAGCGAUGCACCAGGCCAGCCAUCUACAGCCUUAUGACGCCUGCCCGGCUCAGAACAGGCACUCGAGCCGCGGCGUCUGAGUGAAUGACAGGAUGUGCCCUGGCCUGAUAUCAGGCAGCAACCACAUCUAGCUGCAAGUGACAGACGAGUAAACAGUGACUUAAACGAGAGAAGCCUUUUGUUCCCCCUUCAUGUUUAUUUUCUCAUGUAGCAAGAGGUCUGGCACUUGGGAUUCCCGGACCGGGGUAUGGCAGCCCCAUGAUAUUAUCACGGGCUCAGAUCCUUCCAUAUUUCUGCUCUCACGUGCAGCUUCGGUCUUCACGGUCACAAAAAGGCUGCUGCUACUCCAGGCAUCCUGAGUGACGUUCCAGGCAGGAAGAGAAAAAAGGGUGAUAGAGAGGGAGAGGCAAUUCUCUGACACCUAAAACCCUUAGGUUUAUAUCUCAUAAACCGGAGUCAUGUCACAUGACACCCCUACAUGCAGGGGCGGCUGAGAAGUGGAGUUUGUUAGCGGGGCUCAUUGCCACCCUAGAUCAUGUGAGGAUUCUAUUAUAAAGGAAGGCUACAUAGGGGCUUCUGGGUGGCUCAGUCGGUUAAGCCUCCGACUUCGGCUCAGGUCAUGAUCUCACGGUUCGUGAGUUUGAGCCCCACGUUGGGCUCUGGGCUGACAGCUCAGAGCCUGGAGCCUGCUUCUGCUUCUGUGUCUCCCUCUCUCUCUGUCCCUCCCCUGCUCAUGCUCUGUCUCUCUCUGUCUCAAAAAUAAAUAAAACAUUAAAAAAAUUAAAUAAAGGAAGGCUACGUGGAUAUUAGAUGGGCAACUGGCCGUCUCUGCCACUGACCCUUUGCCAUUCGUUGCAAUUGUCCUCAUUUGGGACACGAAAUGCUGAUGGGUAAAUGAUAACGAGGGCCAGCAGACGGAUAAAUGGAGGGGGAGAUGUUGUGCUCAACCCGGCAAGCAUUGUUCAGCCCUCACGAUGUGAAAGCACCGUGGAUACAACGUAGAAAACACAGCGGCUUGCAGGCUGGGAGCUAAGAAGUGGGCAGAGAAACCUGGACCCUGGUCACGGAUGCUGGAUCUGCGCUAGGCAUACGUGGCUAUUAAGUACUGGAAGGGUGGUCAGUGCCAAUGAAGAGAUACUGAUUGAAAUGAUACAUUACCGAAAUGAUAAUAAUAUUUUGGACACGACUGGGUUCAAUAAAAUACUAAAAUUCAUUUCACCUGUUUCUUUUAAUGCGUUUUAAUGUUGCUACUAGAAAAUCUUAAAGCGCAUGUGCAGCUCACAUUAUUUUUAUAUUGCCAGCGUUGUGCCAGAACUUCAUAAUAGAGAGAAUGAGCCCUGGUGGGC